CUCCUCGGCUCAAGUGAUCCUCCUACCUUGGCCCCCUAAAGUGCUGGGAUUACAGGCAUGAGCCAUCAUGAGCAGCUAGAUCUAUAAUAAAACUGAUGCAGGAUUUUUUCUUGACGCCUUUAUGGGACUUGUGACAGUGGUGCCCCAUUUACUCAGCCCACCCUGUUCAUCCCUUGUGGGAAGGGAAUGUGCAGGUGAAUGAGUGUGGGAACUGGCUAGCUGAUUGGACACUGGUGGGAACAAACUGUGUUCAUUGGGUUCUGUUGUACUCCACCCUUUGUGGGAUGUAGCACAUAGAAGAGUGAGUGCAGGAACUGGCUGUCUGCUUUAGCACCAGCAGGAAUAGAUUCUUUGCAGGCUUGCGGCAGCGUCCAGGUGGGGGUGUCUGUGAUCCCAAGGCCCCAGAGGACAUGUUAUAAUGCUCUCUUAGCUCCGUCAUCUGCAGACAGCAGUGUGUUAUCAGCUCAGUGUUCCUUUUGCCUUGUUGCAUAGGGCGGCUGCUGUCCACCAGCGAGGGCAAAGAGCCAGUGUGACAGUCUUUUUGAAUACCAGCACUUGGUGUGUCUCGAAUUCUUGUCUGGUGCCCAAGAGGAAUGAGGUCAUGCGGACAAAUUGAAGGAUGGUGAAUGCGGAGAAUUUUAUUGAAUGAGAACUGCUCUCAGUGAAGAGUGGAGCUGGAAAGGGGAUGGGAAGGGCAGGUUGCUCUCCCCUGAAGCUUCUGUCUUCUGAAGUCAAGUCGCCUCUCCCUGAUGUCCGGCUGCUUGUCUUCUCUGCUGGCUGAGUCUGGGGUCUUUAUAGGCACAGGAUGGGAGAUGCUGUAGGUAGUUUUGGAAAAGGCAACAUUUGAUUGGUAAAAAGACAUUAUUCAGAAAGAACUAUUCGGGAGAGAGCAGACAAAUAGGGAUGGGAAUUCUCACUUUGGGCCACAAGUUUCAGGCUUUUCAGCUUGCAGGUGGGGUUUUGCUGGGGACCCGCCUCUGUCUGCCUGGAAUUUCUCUGCUUCCUGCCUCUAUCAAAACUAUCAUAGAAAAUAUGCUUCCCUCUCACCUUUUUCCUCCAACCACCCAGUUCCUGAAACCAGACACAACUAUUGUUAACCGAAGGAAAGAGUUGAAGUAUUCUCUUUGAAGUAAAUAGCUUAGUAAUCAGCUUUAAAUAUUUUAUGUGUAGAAUUGUUGGUGCAUUAUCUUAGUUGGAUUAUAGUGUUAAUAAGGUCAAGGUCAUAAGGGCCUGAGUGCAAACCAGUUAAUGUUGUGUUCUCUGGUUAUAAAAGGACACUGGGUAGUGUCCAGUCAGCCAUUAUGCAAAUGCCAGUUAUCAGUCUUGCUGGAGAGGGAGUGCUAGUGGAAAAGUGAGUGGAAUGACUCAGUUCAAAUUCAUGAUGUAAAAGCUGUGGAAAUAACAUUUCACUAAAGUCAGGUUGAGUAGGUAGCAUGAUUAAUCAUGGGAUUAAGAGAACAUAUAAAUCCUCUGCAGCCAAUUAAGCCGACUGUGUUCCUUUCCUCAUGGGGGCUCAGUGUGCAAUGGCUGCACACAGUAGCUUCCUUAGUAGUGUACUCAGCCUGUUUCUUGUAUGGGUUGCUCUAAGGGACCUUGGAGACAGGCCUUUCAGAUGGAUGUUCAUGUCUCUGACUUUGCACUAUCCCCAGUCUAGGCUCCAAACAGGUAUGCGAGGUGCCUUUGGAAAGCCCCAGGGCACUGUGGCCGGGGUUCACAUUGGCCAAAUUAUCAUGUCCAUUUGCACCAAGAUGCAGAACAAGGAGCUUGUGUUGAGGCCCCAUGCAGGGCCAAGUUGAAGUUCCCUGGCCGCCAGAAGAUCCACAUCUCUAAGAAGUGGGGCUUUACCAAGUUCAGUGCAGAUGAAUUUGAAGACAUGGUGGCUGAGAAGCAGCUCAUCCCAGAUGGCUGUGGGGUCAAUUACAUCCCCAACAGUGGCCCUCUGGACAACUGGCGGCGGGCCCUGCACUCGUGAGGGCUUCUACUGUGCUGCCCCCUCUUAAUGCUCGCCAAUGAAUCCUACUUCCUGUUCACCUUAAAAAAAAAAAAGAGAGAGAGAGAAAGAGCAAACCCCUUACUUGUGUUGGAGAAAGUGGCAUACAGAGUGUGUGAUUUGUUAGGGAAGUAGCUCUGGGACUGUAUAGCUCAGGUAGCACAACUCUGUGCCUGAACAUUUCUCUGUGUACUACAUUCUCUGCACACAUUGUUUAAAACAGCUUUGUCAAAAGAGCAUAAAUACAAACAUCAGAAGCCAGAUGCAAAAUAAUUACAUCGUAUGUUUCCAUUCAUUUAAAGUUCAGAAAACGGGCUAAACACAGCCAUAUUGUUUUGAAAUGUGUGGCAAUACUAUUCUUUAUCAAAAUCUGUUCUUUCAUAAUAACAAAAUUGUAGUGGGGCAUAUAACUGCCUGGCUACAGCCCAUUUUGCAGCCUUUCUUGCGGUUAGAUGUGUACAUGUAACAAAGUUUUCUUCCAUGGUAUGGAGUGGACUUGAUGUGCGCCACUUCUGCCUGUGCACACAAACCCCCAGUGUGUGCUUCUCGGGGCUCUAGUGCUCUUUUCCGCUCUGGUGGGCUAGGAUGGCAAUAAUCUGAGCAAUAAUUGAAGUCAAGUGUGGAAAAUUGCAGACCCUGAGUUACUUUAAAAAAAAAAAUUUUAUUUAUUUAUUUUUU